UACGUAGGUGGCAAGCGUUGUCCGGAAUUACUGGGUGUAAAGCGCGUGUAGGCGGCAGACCAAGUCGGCGGUGAAAGCGCCCGGCUCAACUGGGCGAGGUCCGUGGAAACUGGUCAGCUGGAGGACGGUAGAGGCGAGUGGAAUUCCCGGUGUAGUGGUGAAAUGCGUAGAGAUCGGGAGGAACACCUGUGGCGAAGGCGACUUUCUGGGCUGUAACUGACGCUGAGGCGCGAAAGCGUGGGGAGCAAACAGG
rnacentral:rRNA from 1 species